GAACGCACAUUGCGCCCGCCAGUAUUCUGGCGGGCAUGCCUGUUCGAGCGUCAUUUCAACCCUCAAGCCCCCGGGCUUGGUGUUGGGGAUCGGCGUGCCCUCGCGGCGCGCCGUCCCCGAAAUCUAGUGGCGGUCUCGCUGUAGCUUCCUCUGCGUAGUAGCACACCUCGCACGGGAAAGCAGCGCGGCCACGCCGUUAAACCCCCCACUUCUGAAAGGUUGACCUCGGAUCAGGUAGGAAUACCCGCUGAACUUAAG
rnacentral:misc_RNA from 1 species